GGAGCAGAGCCUCAUUCCUGCUUCGCUGGGCUGAGACACAGAUUAUGCCCAGGCCUGAAAUAUUUAACCCUACACAGGAAGAAACAUGGGGUGCAGGAGCUGGCUGGUCCUACCUUACAGCACUGGACCAUCUCCUGGGCACUGAACUGCAGCGUCCGGUCUCUGCUCUCCUUGAGGACUUCACACAACUCUUCCUUCUGUGUGGGUGGGUUCAAGCUGCUACAACCAGCCUGGGGAAAAUCCCCAGAAAACCUGGCAAAGCUGCAGACUCCCACUUCUGUGAAGAGAGGCAGUGAUUUUUUGGUAAGGAGGUCAUUCCAAGUAGAACUGGAGUAUUUUGGAGCAGUACUUCAGGCAACGUUGCCUACCACAGGUUGUUCAUCAUCACAUCCAUGCAGUGCAGUGGAACCACACACAGCUCAAAGGCUGCAGAUGCACAGAAGGAGAUUCCCUCAGUUCCAUCCCGGCUCUUUUGAAGUAUUUGGAGGCAGACUGACUUAACUGGGCUCUUUGGGUGUCAGAGGGAUGUUAGUGGAGUCUCUUAAAACUGAUUAAUUGCCUUCAUUAGGAGCUGUACUGUAAACAAGCAGUGAUAGUGCAGAAAAUUCAUCGCCAGUCAACAGAAAUGAAAAGCCCAGAGCAAACAUAACAAGCGAUAACUAAUUAUCAACACAUGCCCUAGUUGCUUAAUAGCUCUUUCCCUGAGAUUUGCAGUUGGUGUCUGUAAGUGCUGCUCGAGGAUCAGCCCCUCCUUGCCUGUGCUUCCCAGGAUCACACUGAUGACAGCCUGAAAGCAAUUUUCUCAGUGUACUUGUUAACACAUACAGAAAGAGAUUUUCCUUGACUGAGAAGCCCUGGUCCAAGUAAAAUUCUGACUGGUCCAGCUCCUUCCUUGAGGAGCUCAACACAGCCCCUCACACGGAGCCAGGCUUUGCCUGCCGAGCUUGCUCAGCUGCUGGGGUCAGACCAAAUCUGUUUGGCCGUGUUCAGACCUGAAAUGGAGGCAAUUUCGAGAUGCUCAGCACUUCUCAGAAUCAAUCCCCUCUGCUCACAGAGAAAACAUGCUUUGGACCUGAUCAGCUCUGCACUUGUACCCACAUAGAACUGUAGCAUCCUCUGUUCACUUCACAUUAAACAGCCACAAAACACCGAGUCAGAUCUGUGUAUGUUCCAGACCAUAAAGUCAGAUAAAGCCUUCUGGCCUCACCUACUGCCAGAUCCCAAUAAUAUUUACUUGUAAUGUCUCUAGAAUAUGUUUGUGACUUGGAAACAGAUGGUAUGUGUGGUCUCUCUCAGAAAGAGUCAUUCCGGGUGCUGUGGAAACCUUCAGGGAUUCAAACAUGCAUUCACUAGGAGGAGAAUCUACCUGUCCUACUGGAACUGUGAUCAAUAUGUUAUUGCCACAAGGCUCAGUCCUGAAAGUUUGUCCUCCCAUGAAUCUGCCUUAUAAAUUAACUUGGACUGCUGGACAAGUCAGAUGGACAACUCCCCAAUAUGCAAAAAAGGUUUGCAAGAUGAAAGACUAGAUUUGUAAAGCUCAUUAAAUACCUAAGAUGGAGACAGAUGCUUCCACCCAUCCUUAUUUAAAUAUUCUUAUUUGAGUGUUCUUAAGUACUUAAGAACACAUACACAUCCACUUUGCCCUUGAUUUUGUUUUAUGUGAGAGCCUGCUCUCUCAAUACGCUGUUCUUCAUUUUAAUAUGUAUUGAGGACAUACAUUAUCCUUAGUUCCAGUCUUCUCUUCUAAGGAUUUUAUUUAUUCUGUGCUCGUACAUAGUGCUACUCUUUUUUUUCAGUCCCUGCCAUUUGAGGCUCUCUAAGUGUCAUACAAGCAUUCAUGAACUUCUCUGUGCUACCCUCAAGAAAGCAAGCUGGCAGUAUAUGGCUUUCCCCCUCACCACCCAUUUAUUCAUCAUUUUCAGUGCCUUCUCUGCUCUUUUUAGUCUGGUUAAACUGCCUGUGAUGCUUCUCCCAUGCACAUGUGUGAUGAAGGGUUGGCUGCAUUCUCCUUCCCUUGCUCUGACACGGAACAACCCCCCCAAGUCCAUGGCUGUUUGCUGUGCACUUGCCAACCCAAAAGCACUGAGCAGCAUCUAUCAGAGCUGUACAACAAACGCGGCACUGCAGAGAUACCCGAGCUCUAAUCACUCACAGCUCCAGGCACUUUGCUCUUCAUCAUAUUUGUCUAGACAGACUAAAUGGUCUCUGUGAGACAACCCCAGUGUUAGCCGGGAGAGAGGCUGCAUUUUCCAGGUAUGGCUAAGGGGAGAUGGUUGCUGGAGCACAGGCGUUAUAAAAGUGGUUCAUCACACGGUACAAAAGCGCUGGAAGGCUGUGCCUCCUCCCAGCAUCGAGUGCUUUUUAAGUGGUGCCGCCAGGUAGGGGGUGUUUGUGGGCGUUUCACAGCCAAGGAGAAGGAGGGGGCUCCAGGGUGUUACUGCGACCAGCGCGGCUGCG